rnacentral:lncRNA from 1 species
AUCUAAAGCCUCCCAGACUAAUCCUUGCCUUGGGUUUUUGGUAUGCUUUAUUAUUCUCGCAUUCUCCCAGAGUGGUUUACUGGAGGAAGCAUAGCAUGCUUCAGCCAGGCCCGUGGACAUGUUACCUUUCUGUACGUCUUUUUUAUGCUCUGCAACUCUUUCUCCAAGCGUAUGUCCUGUGAAGCCAAUAUAGAACUUUCUUGUCGUGUGUUAUUGUCUAUGACUGGAAUACGGUACACUCCUGAUUUAUAAAUGCCCUUGACUUUAUCCUUGGAGUUUCUUAGGGUAGUGAAGAUUGUGGGAUUUCUUUGGA